AGAUUAAGUUAUUAAGGGCGCACGGUGGAUGCCUUGGCACUAGAAGCCGAUGAAGGACGUUACUAACGACGAUAUGCUUUGGGGAGCUGUAAGUAAGCUUUGAUCCAGAGAUUUCCGAAUGGGGAAACCCAGCAUGAGUUAUGUCAUGUUAUCGAUAUGUGAAUACAUAGCAUAUCAGAAGGCACACCCGGAGAACUGAAACAUCUUAGUACCCGGAGGAAGAGAAAGAAAAUUCGAUUCCCUUAGUAGCGGCGAGCGAAACGGGAAGAGCCCAAACCAACAAGCUUGCUUGUUGGGGUUGUAGGACACUCUAUACGGAGUUACAAAGGACGACAUUAGACGAAUCAUCUGGAAAGAUGAAUCAAAGAAGGUAAUAAUCCUGUAGUCGAAAAUGUUGUCU
rnacentral:rRNA from 1 species